AAUAUUGUUAGUUUGAAAUUUAUAAUCAUAUAUAUACAUUAAAACUUGAUAAUGCAACACUAAUUACACCGCUACCUUUCUGUCUAUCUGCAGGCAAACAGAGGCAGCUCCCAGAUAUUUUAUUUCAGCUAUGCCUUUUAAAGGAUCACUAUAGGAUCAGGAACACAAACAUGUAUUCCUGACCCUAUUGUGCUAAACCCACCAUUUAGGUGGCUUUCCCCCCCUUAGUCUCCCUAUAAAAGUUUAAAACUCACCUUAUUUCCAGGGCCGCACGGGUCUGUCAGUGCUGGCUUCACCCUCUUUGUGACAUCAUCAGAAUGGACGAUUUAUUUUGGCUAAAAUCAGCACGGG